UCUGAAUGAAUAUUUGAAAGAUAUAGUAAAAUACAAAGAAAAUAAAAUUCAAGCAUGAAUCCCACAUACAUGUAUUGCAGUGUAUAGUUCACAUAAAAACAAAAAACACAAAACAAUCCUCUGACAGAUUGUAUUUUCCCAAAAUGGCACAGCAAUAUUUCUGUUCUUACAUUCUCCUCUAGAACCUUGCCACUUCCCAUCUGGAGAUAGAAUCUCUUUCCCCUUUAUUUGAACAUAGGUGGGACUUGUGACUCCUCAACCAAUAGGAAAUAGUGGAAUGGAUGCAGUGUGCCUUCUGAGGUUGGGUCAUACAUGGUGACAUAGUUCCUUCUGGCUGCCUCUCAGGAUGUUCACCCUUGCAUUCAGCCACCAUGUGGAGAAGAAGCUCCAAGAGACCAUGGGGAGAAGCCUCUUGGAGAGGCCUGCCUGGAGGAGAAUUAAGAUCCCCAAUCAGUGUAAGCCACCAAAAGUGUAUAUAAGUGAAUGGGAGAAGAGGAAACAGAGAUCACAUAGCAUGCUGGGGGAGAGAGAAAGAUUUGGAGAUCUGAGUUACAGAAGAUUAUGUCUCACCCAAAGGUCAGCAGUCCAGAGAAGACAAGAACUUCCAUCCAGACAAAACGAGCUCUAAACAAGAACUGAGGAAGCCUCCUGCUGGGAAGAAUGAUGACUAGAGCUGAAAUAUCUUUCUAUUAUCUAUGUGACUUUGGGCCACUAAAGUCUCUAAUUUCUUCAUUUGUAAAAUGGGCUUGAUGUUUACCAUUGAAUGAUGUUAACAAUUAGAAAUUAUAUGUAAAGUACCUUAGAUGAUCUUUGAGACACGAUAG
rnacentral:lncRNA from 1 species